CAGCAGGACCACAUCUAGCUGCUAUCUAGAAGUCCACUGAAGAGUCCCUGAAAGGAAAUAGCAAUUCUUCCCUGUCCAGCAACUACCAGAUAUUCUUCCUCUGAGAACAACACGACCUCUACUUUGUCAAUAUAGUCUUUUUGUGCACCUGAGAGACAUCAGACCCAGAAGAAAAAGUGGAGGGAGAAGGAACUUCAGAACUCACUAGAAAAGGGACUUCUGAAACUCCAGACCAUGCAAAGUUGACUAUAUAGAAGGAUUUUUUAUAUGUGUCACUGGCUAACCUUGGUCAUGGACAGGUUAUAAGCCAUGACCAUCCACUGCAUCCUGAGUCAUCGCCGGUCUUCUUGGUUUUCGUCUUGCUACCGGACUUGGAUGAUGACUCUGAGAGAGAGUGAAGCUGAAGGACUUUGUGCAACUCUGCCUCACUUACAUCCGAUUUAUGCAUGAGUCAAGAGACCUCACCAGCAAUGGUCCUCCACCAGAUUUGGUCCUCCCCGAGGACGAAAGACCACAACUAACCAAGCAACCAUUUACUAAAUGCCUACUAUAUACCAGGAAAUCUCAAGACUCAAAAAAGAAGAGAGAAUGACUCCAAGCAAAACAUCUACAAGCAAAACCUCAAAGAAAAAUACAGCUUGGAGGAAAAAAUUCAACUAAAAUUUUUGGAAGAGAUGAAGCAAGAGUUUUUUUUUUAUUUUAAUUCAUAGAAUGGAAGCACUUGAAGAAAAAAAUGGAAAAGAAGUUAGAGCUAUGGGAGAAGGAAUUGGAAAGGGAACUAACAGCUUGGCACAAGAGGAACAAAACCUUACAACAAACACCCUGAAAAUUAGAAUGUAUCAAAGAGAAGCUUCUUGACUACAUGAAGCCACAAUAAAUUUCAAAAUGAUGUCA
rnacentral:lncRNA from 1 species